ACGUAGGGGGCAAGCGUUGCUCGGAAUUACUGGGCGUAAAGGGUGUGUAGGUGGCUGAUUAAGUUAAGGAUGAAAUCCCGAGGCUCAACUUCGGAACUGUCCUUGAUACUGGUCAGCUUGAGGCUAGUAAAGGAGAGCGGAAUUCCCGGUGGGGCGGUGCAAUGCGUAGAUCCCGGGAGGAACACCAGAGGCGUAGGGGAGUCUCUAGGCUUGUACUGACACUGAGACACGAAAGCUAGGGGAGGGAACGG
rnacentral:rRNA from 1 species